rnacentral:rRNA from 1 species
GACGAACGCUGGCGGCGUGCUUAACACAUGCAAGUCGAACGGAAAGGCCCCUUUGGGGGUACUCGAGUGGCGAACGGGUGCGUAACACGUGAGUAACCUGCCCCUGACUUCGGGAUAACUUCAGGAAACUGGGGCUAAUACUGGAUAGGAAUCCUUGCUGCAUGGUGGGGGUUGGAAAGCUUCGGCGGUUUUUGAUGGACUCGCGGCUUAUCAGCUUGUUGGUGGGGUAGUGGCUUACCAAGGCUUUGACGGGUAGCCGGCCUGAGGGGGCGACCGGCCACAUUGGGACUGAGGUGCGGCCCAGGCUGCUACGGGGGGGAACAGGGGGGAAUAUUGAACGAUGGGCGGAAGCCGGGUGCAGCAACGCCGCGGGCGGGAAGACGGCCUUCGGGUUGUAAACCGCUUUCAGCAGGGGCGGAGCUUGUGGUGACGGUACCUGCAGAAGAAGCACCGGCUAACUACGUG